rnacentral:rRNA from 1 species
UGCCAGCCGCCGCGGUAAUACGGAGGGUGCAAGCGUUGUUCGGAUUUAUUGGGUUUAAAGGGUGCGUAGGUGGCCUAUUAAGUCAGUGGUUAAAGACUGCGGCUCAACCGUAGCACGCCAUUGAAACUGGCAGGCUUGAGUGCGUCAGAGGAGAUUGGAAUGUGUGGUGUAGCGGUGAAAUGCAUAGAUAUCACACAGAACACCGAUUGCGAAGGCAGAUCUCUAUGACGUAACUGACGCUAAUGCACGAAAGCGUGGGGAGCGAACAGGAUUAGAUA